rnacentral:rRNA from 1 species
AGUGAACGCUGGCGGUAGGCCUAACACAUGCAAGUCGAACGGCAGCACAGUAAGAGCUUGCUCUUACGGGUGGCGAGUGGCGGACGGGUGAGGAAUACAUCGGAAUCUACUUUUUCGUGGGGGAUAACGUAGGGAAACUUACGCUAAUACCGCAUACGACCUACGGGUGAAAGCAGUGGAUCUUCGUACCUUGCGCGAUUGAAUGAGCCGAUGUAGGAUUAGCUAGUUGGCGGGGUAAAGGCCCACCAAGGCGACGAUCCGUAGGUGGUCUGAGAGGAUGAUGAGCCAGGCUGGAACUGGGACACGGUCACGACUCGUACGGGAGGCAGCCGUGGGGAAUAUUGGAGGAUGGGGGCAAGAAUGAUCCAGCAAUACCGCAUGGGUGAAGAAGGCCUUCGGGUUGUAAAGACAUUUUGUUCGGAAAGAAAAGCAGCAGCUUAAUACCCCGCUGUUCUGACGGUACCCAAAGAAUAAGCACCGGCUAAAUUCGUG